UACGUAGUGGCAAGCGUUGUCCGGAAUUAUUGGGCGUAAAGCGCGCGCAGGCGGUCUCUUAAGUCUGAUGUGAAAUCUCGCGGCUCAACCGUGAGCGGUCAUUGGAAACUGGGAGACUUGAGUGCAGAAGAGAAGAGCGGAAUUCCACGUGUAGCGGUGAAAUGCGUAGAGAUGUGGGGGAACACCAGUGGCGAAGGCGGCUCUUUGGUCUGUAACUGACGCUGAGGCGCGAAAGCGUGGGGAGCGAACAGG
rnacentral:rRNA from 1 species